rnacentral:lncRNA from 1 species
UUUUUUUUUUUUUUUUUUUUUUUUUUUUGUGCGAGUAGCUGGGGGUAGGAGCAUCUAUUUUCCUUUUAUGUUUUAAUGCUAUUGGUAGGUGUAGGAGUGGGUGGAAGAAGACAGACAUGUCUCUUCUAACAUGAGGAUUUUUCAGGUCACUGUUGACCUAAAUUUUAGUCUGAGUCCAAAAAAGUCACUGCAGCUGAGAUUCCAGGUGUCCUGAGCAAAUAUUUGGUACAAAUGGUUGUGUCCAGUGAUGGUCCAUGUUGUUGGCAACUUUUGUGUCCUAUGUAGCAGACAGAGCAAGUUAGGCCUCCCCAGUUUUAUUCUACCUCUGAAAGCCCUCUUUUGGUCUGGCUGUAAUAUUUAUAGGGUGGCAUUUAUUUUCUUUUUUCUUUUUCUUUAUUGCGCUGGCAGAGCAUUUAUUCCAACACUCUUUCCUUCAUGCCAAUACCAGGAAGUAAGGUCAGCAAGCCUUUGUCUAAUGAGAUGCUCAUAACACUGUUAAAUGAAGGAGGUCACUAUUCUUAAAAACCCACUCUAGUAGUCAGCUUUCUGUGACACAAUUUCUGAGAUAUAUAGAGUUUUAUUUGGGGUUGUGGUUACAGUUCACAAUUGCCUGGCCCUGUUGUUCCUGUGUUCGUGUAAGGAGAAAAUUUAGAGGUGGGAAAUAAUGGUAGAGCAAACUCACCUCACUGUACACUGAUGAGAAGAGGCUGAGUACCCAGUAACCCUAGCAAAGAACAUGACGUCAGUGACCUAACUUUCCUCUACUAAGCCUUAUCUCCAGAAGGUUCCACCAGCUCCUAAGAGUGUGAAGACAGGUGGAUUUCAAUAUGAGCCUUUGGGGAAGAACAUUUAGAUUCUGAGUCAUAUUAGCAUAGCUUUGCAGAUAUGUGUCAUUUCCCUGGGGUGUGAUACUAGGAGAAGGGAACUCCCUCAACUUGCUCCUCCAAGACUCAGAGGAGGCAUUUCUUUGCUUGUCAUUGUUUCCUACAUUUCUCAUUGGCUGUUGCCUUGGAGUUAGUGAAAAGCUGUCAGUAGGGGCAUCCCUUGAACUAACCCUGUCUUUUAGUCUUGUAAUUGCUGUCUCUUCCUUUUUCUCCAGGGACCUCACCAGGUCUCAGUCUGCAUUCUCCUGCAUAGCCUGUGCCUUCUAGUCAGUCAUUUGAUGUUCUGUGUUGUAUUGCCAAGUCUACAUCUUUUCUUUUGUUGAAGUGUAACUCAAGAAAAUGGGGAGAUUGAUCAAGUGUUGAAUAACAGAACAUUUAAAUGGUGACACCACGUCGAUUCCCCUGCUUCUCAGAAUGGAAGUCAGUGACUUUCAAAUAUUAUGACAUAGCUUCUAAGAAAACAUAAAAGGAAAUAGCUUCAUUCUGCUCCAGUGGUCAUGAGGCUCCCAAAGAAAACCACGUAGCCAAAUGUUUUCUUAUUUUCUUGUGUCCUCAAAAUUGAAAUUUCUUUGAUGUUUCUAAAUUCUAAAUUUGCUUCCAAAUUAUUUUUUAAAAUAUGUUGGUUAAUUGUUUAUAUUGUUCACCUCAUACAGUCUUCAUAUUAUUGUAGAGCUGUAUGGUGCUUUGCAGUUUCUUUAAGCACUAUAUUUGGGAAGUUGGAUAUAUUGAACUACAUGUGGAAUUGCGUAAGAAACAUUCCUAAUGGCUUCUAAACACCAGGGAACUUCGGAUUUUCUGACAUCAUUAUCUUUUCUUUCUCCUUUCCAUCUUUUAAAAUAAUCAGUCGAGCCCUGACAAUCUUGGCAUUUCUGUUUAUUUAAAUAUUGUGAACAUAUAUAGCAAAGAGGGCUUUGAGUAAAUAUUCAGUGAGAAAAAUGUGAGUUUAAAUAGCAGUCUGCUUACAGAAUAAAUGCAGGCUGCAUCCUUCCUCUGUCUGUGCACUGAUGACUGCUGGGGUGGGCUUCCUGUGAUAAUUCAUGUGCUCUUUUCUCUCUUAGAAUGCUGAGACUUUUGAAUACUAGUAGCCAAUAUAUUUAUAUUUUUUGUUAAAUCUUACUUGUAUAUUAUGGAAUAUAGUUAUUUUCUUUUUUGAUUAUAUACAUGAUUACUUGUGGUAUGUGUUUUCAAACACAUUGCCUAGAAAUUUAAGGAAAUUUCUGUGAAGUUUAUUAGAAGAAGUACUAAUAAAAUAAGUUGAAUUUAAAUUCUUUUUUUCUCUUACACACAUAUGUGAAUGUGUGCACAAACACAAGAACACAAGGCUGCAUACACAUAUGUGUAAUGUAUACACCACACACACACACACACACACACACACACACACACACACACACACUCACACACACACACACACACACACACUCACACUCACACAGAACUAAUUGAAAAUUAGCAGACUAAAGUUGAGCCUUCUGAGAAGUCAGUUACUUCUGGAUUCAGUCCUGAUUUCUGUUCCUUGUUUCCAACACAGCUUUCCUUCUAGGUGACCUGAUCAGAUUCAUGGCUUUAAUAUUCCCUCCAUGCUGAUGAUACCAAAAUGUGUUUCUCUGGCUCUCUCUUCUCCAAUAAACUGCAGGCUCAUUUAUCCAACUGCUCACUCAGUGUCUCCAGUUAUAUGUGUAAUAAACUCCUUAAGCUUUAUAUAUUUAGAACAGAAUUCCCAGCUCCUGCCUAAAAAAAUGGGAUCAUUACUCAGUGUUCCUCAUCCGAAAUAAAACCUACCUUUUUACCCCAGUGCUUAAGUGUGCCUUUUUCAAAAUGUC